AAUGAAGUCUUAAUGAAACGUCAGGAGUUGCAAAAUCAAAAGUUAGAAGAGCUCACAGCAUUCUACUGUCAAUGAUAGCCGAAGAAAGUUGAGUGAAUUACGGGAAAAGACGCAAGAAGAAAUCAACUCCCUCGCUUCUCAGCUGCAGGGUGUGCGAAAUGAAAAUAACAAUCUGUCGAUGCAAUUAGCAG